GCCUCAUCUGGUUGUGUACCUAGUCAAAUCCCCAUGAUAUCUCAGUAGAAGAAAGAAGGAGGAUCUUAAAACUUCAGGGAAGAAAUAAUUUCUUCAACGAAGACGAUAUAAGGUGUUAUACUAUUCUAAUAUGUACAAGAGUAAAAAUAAGAUUGGCAGCUGCGGGGAGAUGCGUGCAAAAGAGCAUCAGUGAGAGACAUGCUCUUCCUGUGUCAUCCAGGCUGGAGUGCAGCGGUGCAAUCACGGCUCACUGCAGCCUUGAACUCCCAGGUUCAAGUGAUCCUCCCACCUUAGCCUCCUGUGUAGCUAGGACUACAGGCAUGCAUCACCAUGCCCCAUGCCACCACGGUUACCACACCUUGCUAAUUUUUGUAUUUUUUGUAGAGACGGGAUUUUGUUAGGCACACCCAGGCUGAUCUGGAACUCUUGGGCUGAAGCCCACAUCCUCUUAUAGUGCUGGGAUUACAGGUGUGACCCACUGUUCCUGACCACCUCUAUGAAUUCCUAAAUAUACUAUAUGAAUUACGCUAUUUUCCUUUGUCUGUAUUCACAAGUGACAUUCACCUGAUGAUUUACAUAUUUUAUUUUGCGUAUAUUUUCUUUUCUUUGUUCACAAAGAAUAUAGAAAUGACAAUACGUGUUAAGUAGGUCCCAUUUCUUCAUUCCAUUGUGUUUGAUGUUUUAGUAUCAUUGGUAACAUUGUUUUUUUGUCAGAACAUUCUUGACUAUACAAGAGUCGAUCAUUUAAAGCUACUUUCAUUAUAAUCUUCUAAAGUACUCUUAGGAGAUAAUCAGGAAAAAACAUACAGAUAAAUAUAUAGAUAUGUUGCGGGAAAUCAGGGAUUCUGAACAGAGGGACCUGCUGAAGCUGUGACAGAAUAACAUAAAUUGUGAAGAUUUCAUGGACAUUUAUUCAUUCCCCAAAUUAAUACUUUUAUAAUUUCUUAUACCUGUCUUUACUACAAUCUCUGAACAUAAAUUGUGAAGAUUCCAUGGACAUUUAUCACUUCCCCAAUCAAUACUCUUGUGAUUUCCUAUGUCUGUCUUUAAUCUAUUAAUCCCAUCAUCUUCAUAAGCUGAGGAUGUAUGUCGCCUCAGGACCCUGUGAUGAUUGUGUUAACUGCACAAAUUGUUCAUAAAGCAUGUGUGUUUAAACAAUAUGAAAUCUGGGCACCUUGAAAAAAGAACAGGAUAACAGCGAUGUUCAGGGAAAAAGGGAGAUAACCAUUGGGCCUGACUGCCUGAGGUGCCAGGUGGAACAGAGUCAUAUUUCUCUUCUUACAAAAGCGAAUAGGAGAAAUAUCGCUGAAUUCUUUUUCUCAGCAAGGAACAGCCCUGAGAAAGAAUGCAUUCCCAGAGGGAGGUCUCUAAAAUGGCCACUCUAGGAAUGUCUGUCUUAUACGGUUGUAAACAAGGGAUGAAACAAGCCCCAGUCUACCGUAGGGCCCCCAGGCCUAUAGGAUCAGGAAAUUCCUGCCUAGUAAAUUUUAGUCAGACCGGUUGUCUGCUCUCAAACCCUGUCACCUGAUAAGAUGUUAUCAAUGACAAUGCGUGCCCAGUGGGACAUGAAAGUUAAUUAGCAAUUUUAAUUUCAUCCUGGUCCCAUGAUCUCGCUCUGCCCCCAUUUGCCUUGUGAUAUUUUAUUGCCUUGUGAAGCAUACAACCUCUGUGACCCACACCCUAUUCAUACACUCCCUCCUUUUCAAAUCCAUAAUAAAAACUUGCUGGUUUUGUGGCUUGGGGGCAUCACGGAACCUGCUGACAUAUGAUGUCUCCCUUGGACACCCAGCUUUAAAAUUUCUCUGUUUUGUAUUCUUUCCCUUUAUUUCUCAGACCAACCGACACUCAGGGAAAAUAGAAAAGAACCCACGUUGAAAUAUCGGGGGCUGGUUCCCCCGAUAUAGAUAUAUUUUUAAAAUCGAAGAGACAUUAUAAUGUUAUUUUAUUGUAUCUCUUAUUGAAUGGGACUUUCCUUUCUUUCUUUCUUUCUUUCUCCCUCUCUCUGUCUCUACUUCUUCCUUCCUUCCUAGCUUCUUUCCUUCCUUGCUUCCUUUCUUUGUUUUCUUCCUUCUUUGGAUAUUGCUGUGAACACAGCGUAUAGACAAAGUAAAAUCCUCUCUGCUAAAAUCAUGUGUUUAUGCACAUAAUAGGCUAACACUAUGGAUAUGCAAUCUACCAUUUGAAAAUAGUUCAUUCCAGACUAAUCUCACUUUAUUCACGAUUGUUAUAUCUUGACAUAUGUCCCCCCAAAACUUCAUAUGUUGAAUUGUAUUCCAAAACGUCAGACUUUGACUGUCUUUGGACAUAGGACCUUUAAAGAGGUCAUUAAUUUAAAAUGUCUUUAGAAUAGACCCUAAUCCAGUAUGAUUUAUCAGAAAAGGCAAUUAGGAUACACAGUGGGUCAACCUAUGUGAGGACACAACUAGAAGGAGGCCAUCCUCAAGCCAAGGAAAGGGGCCACAGAAGAACUUAGCUUGCCAAUGCCAACACCUUGAUCUUAAACUUCCAGGCUUCCGUAAUUGUGAGGAAGUAUUUUUACGUUGUUUAAACUACCCAGUCUGUGUUAUUUUGUUACAGCAGACCUAGUAAACUAAAACAACAACUUAGAUGCUUGUGCGUUUAAAGGUUGUAACUUUAACAUGCUUUCUUUUUGUUCAUUCACUCUCAUGUAUGUGUCUGCAUUCUCUUAGGUUAACUUUUUCACAUGUAUGACUUUGAGUACAAUCUUAUUGCUGCUGAUGCCGACCAAACCUUAGCCUCUAAUAAUUUAGACUCAUAUAAAACUGAUUAAUGGAUAUAUAAUUUAUUGUUGCAUGGGUUUCACAAACUCAGGAUGUCCCAAAUGAAUUCUUCAUUUUUUCUACAAUUCUGUUCAUGUGCUCGCAUACUUUCUACAGCAGUAAGUGGUGGGAUAUUCUAGUAAGUAGACCAAAUAUGGGAAUCUAUAAUUUCUGUGGCAAGUGCAUAGUCUAUUAAUUACUAUAAUGUGAUCUUGUCCAGUUGCACAAGUCCCCCAAUUAUAAUUGUCUCCCAUUAUUUUAUAUUUAGUCUUGAAAUUUCACUUAUAAAUAAAAGAAUUAGUUUUUCAAAUUUAAUAUAAACAAGAAACCAAUACCAAACUAAACAAGCACAAAACAAAUAAAAACGAUUAUAAUAUUUAUUAGGAUUGCCUGGAAUGUAAACAUAAAUAUGAGUAUAGUUAAUAUCUAAAUGAUAUUGAGACUUCAUAGUAGCCAUGAAAUUUUUAUAUAUUUUAAAUUAUUCAGGUGUUAUUUUCUUUCAGUAUAGUUUUAUAAUUCUCUGGAUACCUUUCUUAAAUUUAUUAUUGAAUUUAUGCCUAUGCAUUUUAUAUUUUUAUUAAAAUUAUAAGUGACAUCCUCUAUUAAAGAAUAUUUUCUAAAUGACUAUUGCUGGUUUAUAUAAAUGUAAUUUAUUUUUGCAUUUAAUUUAUAUUUAAUGUAGGUAUUUUGAGUUUUCUUUGUAGGAGAUAAUAUAAACUGCCAAUAUUCAUGCUUUUUCUUAUUAAACACUUUAUACCCAUUAUUGAUUUUUCAUUAUGUACUCCACAAUAUCUUUUAUUACAAAGUUGUUGUUAUCUUUUCUAUUGUUCAGGUUUUAAUGAAAUUCUUAGUAUUUUACUGUGAUGUUUACUGAAGGUUUUUGUAAAUACCCUUCAUUACGUUAAGUAAGUUUUCUUCUUUGAUAUGUGGUAAGAAUUUUUAUUAUGAAAGCAUUUUAAUUUGUUCAAAGCUAUUUUCUGCUUCUAUCAACAUGACAUUAUGCUAUUACUUUUCCUUAAUUAUUAACAUGGUGAAUAUAUUUUAUUAAUUCUGUAAUAUCAAACUUUACAUCCUUAUAAGUAAUGUAAAACAGGAUGUUUGAUUUAUUGAUAUUAGGUUAACUGCUUUUUUUUAACCUGAUAAUUUAAGUACUUUUAAAAUCAUUUGUUAAACCUCAAGAGAAAUGUAUCAAGAUUUCAUUGUUCUCAUAGUUAUUUAAAGAUUAGUAGCCCUCUUAAGUUCUCUGGAAAAUUACUAUACAAUUCUAGUAUAUAUUUUUAAAACUGCUUCUCAUCUUGAAGCAAUAAAGCAUUUGAGAAAAACACUAGAAUCAAGUUCUAUCAUCUCCAAUUAGAAUCUUUGUAGUUUUAGGAACAAUUUUUCUGCCUCAGUUUUCUCAUCUACAAAAUAAGGAUAAAAUAUUACUUAUAUACAUUGUUGUUUUGAGAAUAAAAUAAUGUACUAUAAUAGUGUAUUUUAUAACUGUACAUAAAUAAAUGAAAUGCUAUUGUUACAUAUAAUUACUAUCUUGUGUAAUUAAGUUCUGGUGUAUUUCAG
rnacentral:lncRNA from 10 species